rnacentral:rRNA from 1 species
GGUAGGGGAAUCUUCGUGCAAUGGGGGCAACCCUGACCGAGCAACGCCGCGUGAGUGAAGAAGGUUUUCGGAUCGUAAAGCUCUGUUGUAAGUCAAGAACGAGUGUGAGAGUGGAAAGUUCACACUGUGACGGUAGCUUACCAGAAAGGGACGGCUAACUACGUGCCAGCAGCCGCGGUAAUACGUAGGUCCCGAGCGUUGUCCGGAUUUAUUGGGCGUAAAGCGAGCGCAGGCGGUUUGAUAAGUCUGAAGUUAAAGGCUGUGGCUCAACCAUAGUUCGCUUUGGAAACUGUCAAACUUGAGUGCAGAAGGGGAGAGUGGAAUUCCAUGUGUAGCGGUGAAAUGCGUAGAUAUAUGGAGGAACACCGGUGGCGAAAGCGGCUCUCUGGUCUGUAACUGACGCUGAGGCUCGAAAGCGUGGGGAGCGAACAGGAUUAGAUACCCUGGUAGUCCACGCCGUAAACGAUGAGUGCUAGGUGUUAGACCCUUUCCGGGGUUUAGUGCCGCAGCUAACGCAUUAAGCACUCCGCCUGGGGAGUACGACCGCAAGGUUG